rnacentral:rRNA from 1 species
CCUACGGGAGGCAGCAGUGGGGAAUAUUGGACAAUGGGGGGAACCCUGAUCCAGCGACGCCGCGUGAGUGAAGAAGUAUUUCGGUAUGUAAAGCUCUAUCAGCAGGGAAGAAAGGAAUGACGGUACCUGACUAAGAAGCCCCGGCUAACUACGUGCCAGCAGCCGCGUUAAUACGUAGGGGGCAAGCGUUAUCCGGAUGUACUGGGUGUAAUGGGCGCGUAGACGGUUCCGCAAGUCUGGAGUGAAAGGCGGGGGCCCAACCCCCGGACUGCUUUGGAAACUGUAUAACUGGAGUGCAGGAGAGGUAAGUAGAAUUCCUAGUGUAGCGGUGAAAUGCGUAGAUAUGAGGAGGAACACCAGUGGCGAAGGCGGCUUACUGGACUGUAACUGACGUUGAGGCUCGAAAGCGUGGGGAGCAAACAGGAUUAGAUACCCCGGUAGUC